CUCCCCACCGUCCCCACCCCCUCCCCUCGGUCUCCCGUGCGGUGCCCUGAGAGCUGGAGGCUGACGUCAGGGGCCUGAAUUCCUGACUUUGCCUGCACGCAUUUGUCCAUGUAAGGCAGAGGAAGAUGCAGAAGGUAAAAGGCCUGGGCAUUUAAAUAAAAUCGGAUAACUUCCUCAAGAGAUGAAGACUGGAUGUAAGCAGACCAGUGGGAAGGGAGAGGAAGAAUCAACAGGGCCUGGCCACUUGGAAACAGAAGCAGGAUGGGCAUGGGGAGGCAAAGGAGAGGAAGCAGCCAUGGCAACACCUGGGACUUACGCUCAAAUGUUAUCCAGUGAGUGAGUGAAUGCAUGAAUCCUUCAUCUUGGCUAGAAAAGCAACACAGUUGAUAUCGUCUCUCUGGAAGACUGGUCAUGUUAUCUUAGACCAUGACUCUGGGCAGGUACCAGGAGGGAUGAGGGAGAGGGGGAGGAUUUAAUAUUUGUCAUUUGUUACAAUGUGCCCUGUGUGUGAGAUUCUAGAGAAACCGUGAACCUCAGAUUGGGACUUGAACCCACAAGGCUGGGACUCAAACCCAGCCAAAACCCUGACUGGGACUUGAACCCACUCAGCCAGGCCUCAAACCUGGCCGAAACCCACAGUCUUCCAACUGAGAUCACACACCUGGUUUCAGGACUUAGUGAAGCUCAGGCUCUUGAUGUCUCAUCACAGAAAGAAUUCAGUGAGAGACAAAGUGAUAGGUAAGAAAUGGAUUUAUUUAGGGAGAAACACUCCACAGACAGAGUGUGGGCCAUCUCAGAAGGUGAGAAAGGCACCAGGGUAUGGCGUUGUCCGUUUUUACAGGGGUGGUUAAUUUCAUAGGCUAAUGAGUGGUGGGAGAAGUAUUCCAG